CGCGCCGCCGCCUCGCUAGUGCCACGGCCCGGCCCCCGCCCCACCUCCCCACGGCGGCGGCGGGGGGCUCGGGUUUCACCCCGCGGCGCUGAAUGGGGUUGGGGUUACUCGCGGGCGUCCGCCUUUAACCCGCUCGGCGCCAGCGUCUGCCGGGGUUACCGGCGGUCACUGGCCCUCAGCUCCCGCCCCCUCCGUUAAAGGGUCAGAGCAGGGAGGUCCUGGCCCAACACCUCAGAACUCUGUGUUCGAAAUCACUGGUUCGCUGACGUCCUGCGUGAGCCUUAACUGCUCCAACCCUCAGUUUACUCCUCCAGAAAACAGCACACUCAUCUCCCUGGCGUCGAAUGGUAGAAGGGAGAUAAUAUGGGUGCAGCACUAAGAAGCGAUUAAGGCCAAGCGCUGCCGAGCGGUAACUGCGGUGGGCGCAGGGACCUCCCCGUCUUAGGGCAGCCCCGGGAAGGGGCCACCGCAGCGGGGCUGAUGGUCUGGGAUGAGGCCACCCCUGAAAACAGGGCCCUGGGAGGCCAGGAAGGGACAGGCCCUGGGACAGACGGGCUCUGGGGGUCUUUUGAAGAGGUGCCUGGGCCUGCCUUCCCUCUUUUGUCAAAGGACCUGAGACAAGAAAACCCAGCCAUGUCUCCCUCACACCCUGACCUUGUCGCCGUCCAGCCCAGGUGCUUCUUUCCUAGCUUUGGGAGGUUCCAGGACAACAGACCGCCUCUCUAGCACAGCCCAACCCCACUUAGCCC